rnacentral:lncRNA from 1 species
UUUAGUGGUUGUAGUGGUUUGAAUGAAAAUGGCCCCCAUAGGCUCAUCCUAUUGGGAGGUGUGACCUUGUUGGAGGAAGUGUGUCACUAGGUUGGGCUUUGAGGUUUCAAAUGCCCAAGCCAGGCCCAGUGUCACUCUCUCUUUCUGUUGCUUUUGGAUUCAGAUGUGGAGCUACCUCUCCAGCCUUCUGUCUGCCUGCAGGUGUCUAUGCGUCCCACCAUGAUGACACUGUACUAAACCUCUGAAACGAUCAACCGACUUGGGACUUUAAUCGCAUCUGUGAAAUUCUAUCACAACACCAGCUAGAUGGGUAUGUAUAGAACAAGCAGAAAAUGAGCAUCUUAUUUUUCUAUCCUAGAGUAUUGUUGUUGUCUUAAAUCAGGUGCAGCACUUAUUCAGAAGAUGUAAUAACACAGACAAGUCCUGAUUAUGCUAGUCAGGAAUCAGAACAUGCCAAGAGAAAAGCUAUUUGGAAUAGGGAGGCAACUGAGUCAGUGGGGUUUGGAUAACACUCACAUAAAGCCCCUGUAAUGUUGGGAUACCCAACCCUAGCACUGAGUAAGUAGAGACAGAGGGACCCUGAACUCAUUGGCUAGCCAAUUUUGCUGAAUGGAUGAGCCUCAGGCUCAGUGAGAGACCAUGUUUCAGAAAAUAAAGUGGAUAGCAAUUGAGGAAGAUAUUUGACAUUCACCUUUGAACUCCACAUGCACACACAUGUAUACCACAUGUGCACACACAUUCACUUACAUACACCACACACAGAGAGUUUAAGGAGAAAGUAGCUUUUCACUGUAUUUUGAUUUUGCAAUAAAACAACCUAAGUACUAGAAAGUUCUAGAGAAUUAGUGGGGACUAGGUGCCAGAAGCGUGAUGAAGAGUGAGGUCAUUCUUUCCAUGACAGAAGGUCAAGUAAUUGGAUGACUUUCAAGGGGAAAAAGUGGCUCAGAAAGAGUUAUGGCUUGAGCAAAGGGCAAGGUGGGGACUAACUGUGUCUUUGUUCCCAUGACGACAACCACAACACAAGGUCACUGGUAUUGGUGAUGGUCAACUUGCUUAAGCUGAGAAUGAUGGAUUGUGGUCUCAACAUGAGUGCAAAGGGGAAAAGGAGAAAUCCAGGUGGAAUUCCUUCUUCUUUACCUCCUUAUCACUUGAGAAGUAAGGAUGCUUAAAUUUGCUCCCAGCACUGCAGAGUCAUCUGUCACAAUGCCUUUCCCACCACGGUAGACUGUAUCCCCUUGAACCACAAGCGUCACGAGCCACCCUCCCUUAAGUUGCCUUUGUCGGGCAUUCACUCACAUCAAUAGGAAAAGCAACCAACCCAGUACUGCAGGGCGAGCAUGUGAGAAAUCCCCUUUGUCCCUAGAUUGAGAUUUAAACCCUGGGUUCUUGGAUUUGAUGAUUUCAGACAAUUCCACAGUGCUCCAUGGUUUUGGCAGUCUAUAAGUCAUGCUUGCCCGUUAACUUGUCUGUUUUUCUGGAGGAAAAGGCCAUAAGGAUCAUGAUUUAGAAGGAGGGAUUGUGAAGAUGAACAGUGGGAAGUGCCAAACAGCUAAUGCAUCUGGAUGACUGAGAUGCCAGAGACUCGUGGCCAUGUGUGGGAACACCCUGAGCAUCGUUUUCCUGGCUUCCAGGAAGGAAGAUUGUCCUAUUCUUCACACCUUCCUCAGCCACUUCUGGGAGGGAAUUUAGGGAGGGAGGAAGCCUUUAUUGAGGGUGUGAGUUUGGGAAGCUUCUGGAAUCUAGUGAUAACUUCUUAUUUUGGGCAACCCAAACCAUCAAAUCUUUGGGAAUAAAACACUCUUAUAAGACUUGGUUUAGUUUUUCCUAAUUUCUGUAGCUCAGCCUCAAGCUCUGGCAAUUGACACCACAGGCCCUACAGAACUACUGUCUGGGCUGUUUGCUUCCUUAUCCUUCAGCCUACGACUUACAUCUUGUUCUCUGUCUUGGUGAAGUUCCAAACAAAAGGAUGGUGUGCAGACAGUGUUG